CACAUGGCGCGAGGGAAUGGUAAUUAAGAGCGAUUGGGGCAGACGUGUUGUGAGAUAUUGAGAUUUUACGCGUAUCUUGAUAAAUGGUUUGAUUGGUUUAAAGGAGCAAAUAGGUUAGAAUAUAGUGUAUAGGGCAAAGGAGACACGAUGAACUGAGAAUGAAAAAUCUUUGAAUGGAAAACUUCUUUCAGUAGAUUUAGUGAUUAAUUUAGCUUGUCUUGAUUGUUUGUCGAUGUUAUAAUAUCUUGAUAUGUAGAUAUAUGGUUCGGUUGGUAAAGAGGUUAAGAAAUGAAGAGGUUAGAAUAUAGAGUCUUGUGCAAAAGGAAUAAGUUGUUUAUUGAUGCAAUCAGUUUAAGUGCUCGGCUUUUUCGUAUAUUUGUUAGAAAAUGAGGAGAAUGUUGCAAGUUGUAAAGAAAUGGAAGAACAUCGUUUUGAAAGGUUAAUAAGAGG